AUUGAACGCUGGCGGCAGGCCUAACACAUGCAAGUCGAGCGGAGCGGCGGACGGGGGAGAAAUGCCUAGGAAUAUGCCUGGUAGUGGGGGAUAACGUCCGGAAACGGGCGCUAAUACCGCAUACUAUCAGAUGAGCCUAGGUCGUCUUAGCUAGUUGGUGGGGUAAAGGCCUACCAGGGCGACGAUCCGUAACUGGUCGGAGAGGAUGAUCAGUCACACUGGAAAGGAGACAUGGUCAAGACGCCUACGGGAGGCAUCAGAGGGGAAUAUUGGACAAUGGGCGAAAGCCUGCUCCAGCCAUGGCGCGUGGGUGAAGAAGUUCUUCGGAUUGUAAAGCACUUUAAGUGGGGAGGCGGUACCAACAGAAUAAGCACCGGCUAACUUCGUGCCAGCAGCCGCGGUAAUAC
rnacentral:rRNA from 1 species